rnacentral:rRNA from 1 species
ACCUCGGGGGGCAGCAGUAGGGAAUUUUCGUCAAUGGGCGCAAGCCUGAACGAGCAAUGCCGCGUGAACGAGGAAGGUCUUCGGAUCGUAAAGUUCUGUUGAAGGGGAAAAAGAGCGGAGAGAGGAAAUGGUCUCCGAUUGAUAUUACCCUUCGAGGAAGUCACGGCUAACUACGUGCCAGCAGCCGCGGUAAUACGUAGGUGGCGAGCGUUAUCCGGAAUGAUUGGGCGUAAAGCGAGUGCAGGCGGUUCCAUAAGUCUGAUGUGAAAGCCUUCGGCUCAACCGGAGAAUUGCAUCAGAAACUG